UAAACGACUCUCGGCAACGGAUAUCUCGGCUCUCGCAUCGAUGAAGAACGUAGCGAAAUGCGAUACUUGGUGUGAAUUGCAGAAUCCCGUGAACCAUCGAGUCUUUGAACGCAAGUUGCGCCCGAAGCCUUUGGGCUAAGGGCACGUCUGCCUGGGCGUCACGC
rnacentral:rRNA from 1 species